AUUUUGGACAAUGGGGGAAACCCUGAUCCAGCCAUCCCGCGUGUAUGAUGAAGGCNUUNNGGUUGNANAGUACUUUUGGCGGANNNNNAAGGGUAUCUCAUAAUACGAGAUACUGACGACGGUAUCUGCAGAAUAAGCACCGGCAAACUACGUGCCAGCAGCCGCGGUAAUACGUAGGGUGCAAGCGUUAACCGGAAUUACUGGGCGUAAAGCGUGUGUAGGCGGUUCGGAAAGAAAGAUGUGAAAUCCCAGGGCUCAACCUUGGAACUGCAUUUUUAACUGCCGAGCUAGAGUAUGUCAGAGGGGGGUAGAAUGCCACGUGUAGCAGUGAAAUGCGUAGAUAUGUGGAGGAAUACCGAUGGCGAAGGCAGCCCCCUGGGAUAAUACUGACGCUCAGACACGAAAGCGUGGGGAGCAAACA
rnacentral:rRNA from 1 species